UUUUUAAAAUAUCUUAUUAAUAACAUCUAUUCAUUGAAAACACAAUUGGGGUUAUUCAUAGUGAUUAGUCCCCCUCAAUGUUUAUGAUUCCGUAGCACAUGACUUGUCUUUAUAUUUGCGGGUUUUAGUGCGUUUCCAAAAAAAAAAAUCAAAGGUUGUGGUAGAGAGAGGAAGCACUAUAACCGAGUAGGAGCUCCAGACAGCCAGUUAUAUGGAGGGUGUCCAAGGAGAAUAUUCGUAAUUUUUUUGGAAGAUGGAAAAUGCGUACAAGCUCAAUUGUGGAGUGGGAGGUUACUGGUAAGGUGUAUUCGGGAAAUUGAAGGGUGAAUCCGCGGAGGAAACAGUGAGCUUUUUCUUCAAUUAUAUUCAGGCAAAGCAAAAGCCCGCAAACAGCCAUUGAUGGAUCCCAAUGAAGCUCCAUUAUCAACUUCUCCGUCAAACUUCAAUUUCAGCCAGCAACGUCAUUUUUACCUAGCCGUCGACAGAUUUCAGUUCAAAAUGGAGACUUUGGUGGAUCUGUUGGGGAUGGCUGGCCGGCUUCGGUGUUUACCUAUUGUAGUUAGCUGCAGCACUCGUGACGAGCUCGACGCUGUCUGCUCCGCCCUUUCCACUCUUUCACAUACUACUAUUGCCGCUCUGUACAGUGAUCUUGCUGAAGCGGAACGUGCAAGGGUUUUAGCUAGGUUUAGACAGGCUACAAUGAGGUGGAACAAGCAGGCUACAACUGAACAUGGAGAUGCAGGGGAAACGGAGAAAGAAGAGGAGAAAUCUAAUUUGAUAGUUGUCACCGAUGCUUGCCUUCCCCUUGUUAACUCUGGCGAAUCACCUGUCAAUGCUCGUGUCUUGAUUAAUUACGAGCUACCAACAAAGAAGGAAACAUAUAUGAGGCGCAUGGCUACUUGUUUGGCAGCAGAUGGAAUUGUGAUCAACAUGGUUGUUGGAGGCGAAGUUGUUACUCUCAAAAGCAUUGAAGAAAAUAGUGGCCUUCUCAUAGCAGAAAUGCCCAUCAAUAUUUUUGAGAUGCUGUGAAGGGAUGAGGCCCUGCAAAUGUCAUCUAAACACAUGAGAUUCCAAGUAAUUAGUGCUUUGUCAAUUUUAUGGGCGCAAAUGAGGGUUGAUGACCUGGCCGUUUUUCUUGGGGGGAACGGGGCUAUACAAAUUUAUUAGCAAUCUGAAGGUACUCUACACGAGAUGUGAAUUAGGGAAGAUUCAAAUGGUCGCUAUGUUUAUGUUGGAGCAAUUGGGGUCUUCCGCACGUAAAAUCUUUAUUGGACCUUGUCAAUUUACCUCAGUUCAUUUGUGCAUGAUGCUCAAUGUUGAUUAUAUAAAUGGUAGUUAGGAGGUUGCAUUCUUGAUUUCAACCCUCCAAGGGAUUAUGCCCUAGAAGGGUCCCGUUAUCUUGAAACCCAGGGAUCGGUGAUGCUUUUGUGCCAAUCAAUGUUUCUAGAUGAUCUGUGGAGUUCUUGUUCUUGGCUUUAGUCAUUUCCAUAGCUUCACUUUUCAAUUUUUACUUGAAUAGUCCACUAUCUUUCACAAAUGCGGCCACUGAACUUGGUUAGCUGUAGCCACUGGCACAUUAUCACAGUUUUCCGUCACGGGUUAUUGCAUGAGAAAGGGGAGGGACAACCUAUAUUCUUUGCUGCCAACUAAUAUGGCCUUACUUUGAAAUUACAAGAUUUUGACUUGGAGGACUUUUAGUGUUACCGUUGUUGAACUUAAAUGAAUUGAUCAUCUAAUAGGCAUAGAGCUGGACACCGUAAUAAGUGUUUGUAAUAUUGUAAUUCCAAUUUUCUGAGAGAAGAGAAGUUGAUAGAAGGAAAAGAGAAUCAUAGUAUAAAGACAAGAGAGAACAACUUCUUUAAUCUGUUACUAGUAUGUAUUAUUAUCUUAGUCAGUUUGCUCAAAGUCUUCAUCUCUAUUUCAUCAUAUAUCUUUUAUCCCCAUUCAAAGAGUGAUUUGGUUGGGACCGGGAGAUUGGUCUGAAGCCAAAUAAACUAAUUGGGAGCUUUCUAAGAAGAUUUUGGAAUAGACCUGCUCAGGCCCAGAUCAAUGAAUGAGUUGCAUGAUGUGGAGCAGAUUUUUUAGGUCUAGCUUUUAGUCCCCACACUGUUAAAUAGGUUAUAUUUAUGUCUGCUUUGAAGAUAAUGACAUCCAUUAAAAUCUUGACUCCAAGAGGUUAGAUGUGUACCAUUUGAAGCUUCUUGUUGUAAAUUUGUGGAUUUUAACCAACACUUUAAACUA